rnacentral:lncRNA from 1 species
AAAAAGACAAGAAAACAACUAUACCAAAAUUGGCUACGAAUCAGGUGCAAGGGCACAUAAAAGAAGCAGCAAUUAUUUCUGAUCAAAGGAUUAGAGAAGAAUGUGCACAGAAGGUGACACAGAAACUCAGCUUAGAAAAAUGUAUAUUUGCGGGGAGAUAAAGGGGAAGGUAUUACAAUGUGAGGCUGUAUAAGAUUCCAAAGCACAGAGAUAUGAAUGUGAAAGGCUUAAUUUGAGAAAGACAAAAUGUUCAUAGUGACUGAAACUUGUUAGCAGAACUUGCAUAGUGCUAGCUCUAAAGAGAAGUUUGGGCUCGGUUUAGAGGGACUUUGGCUGCCAUACUAGGGAGUUUGGAUUCCAUUCUACAGUGUGGAGGAAGAUUUUUUAAAAGCACCAUUUAGUAAACACUGUGGUUGCCUCCUCAACAUCUAUUCCCUACACUACCCCUAUUGUCCUUUCUAACCAAAUCCAUUUUUUUUUUAAAUCAGAUAAUCCACCUCUCCUUUAUGAGAUUCAGGGGACAAUGAAUUCAUCUCCAUUUCCAAGGAUAGAUCUGUAUUAGCUUAAAUCAGGCAGGCUAACUCAUACUUCUUGUGCUUCCAUGACAGACUCUUUCUGGGUUAUACGUAAUAAAUAUACAUAAACAAUAUUAUACUUCAUUGUCCAGCAUAUACAAGAGGCAAACACAAAUCAGAAAUAUUAUCUUUACCAGUGGUACAUGAGUCCAUUUUUUGUCAAAUAGAGAGCAAUUGCUGCAGUAAUUGCAGUUUAUCACUAAGCCAGAUGCAGGGGUUACUCAUACAUAUGCCUUCUAAUUGUGGGCUACUAUUAAUAGUCACUGGCCUCCUUCUUAAAUUAUUUUCAGUCAUGAGCUUAACUUAAUGUGGUACCAUAUAUUCUUUCUUUUAAGGACCUUAAGAAUCUGGGAAGAAUUAGCCACACUCUAAUUUAGGAACAGAGAUGGAUGAAUCCACCUAUGGACAUUUACUGGUAUGAGUCACUGGGGAAGUUCACUAAGUCACUAUUUAAGAUGAUCCAGAACAGGUGUCUACAGCUGCCUUAAGAAUGAGUACUAUGGUGGUGAUGAAAAUGUUCCUCUCAGAUGUCCAACUGCAGGGGGUGGGUAUGAAAUUGCCAGAUGGCCCCAGCUGGUGUGCUCUGGAAUCCUUGGCGCCAAGGCCAUGCUGCCAGGGGCUUCUCCAGGCUGGUGAUCAAAUGUAGUGAGGAUCCUCAGGCAGGCCCAUUCCUGGAAGACAUGGGACUCUCCCGAUAGGUCGGCUCCAAGGCUACACAAGCAGCAAGAAGAAAAGGAAAAACUCUGUUUUAUUAAAGCUCCACUUGCCUAUCUACCUUGGUGGAGGGUCAAGAAAAGGUUUAUAACCUAUUUGCAGGUUUUAGGCUCCUGUUUGCAGCACAGAAACCACAGACAAUAGAAAUUCAGACUCAGUGGUGUGGCAGAAGAUAAAAUAAUUUGGGUUAUUUCUGUGAUAACAUGGGCAAUCUGGAAACUACUCCCAUUUGUGAGGGUAAAUCUCUAUUAUGAUACAUGGAAAAUAGGACAGAUGCUAAUUCAGAGAGAAGGGGAAAAGAAACUCCAUCAAUCAAGCUAAAGGCAGCAAAGGAAAAUUUGAAAAGAAGCAACGAGACUGUUUAACAAAGAACAUCAAAUAAGAUGAUGGAACUAGAAGAAAAACACCAAUGUCCUUAAUUAUAUAAAAACAUCAAUGUCCUUAAUUAUAUAAAUUUUUAACCCUCAAUUGGGUUAAAAAAUCAGAUUUGUACUAAGAGAUGUAUCUUUAAAAGCAAAAGAAAGAAUAAAAAGAUCAACAAGUAAAACAAAGUAGGAGUCAGAAUUAAUAUUAGACAAAAUAAAGGUGAAAAAUACUAAAUGCAAGAAAUAAUAUUUUAGAUGACAAAAAUGUAUGAGCCAUAAAAAAGUCAUGAGUUUUUAUAAACCUAAAAUAUAGCUUUGAAAUAUAUAAAGCAAAAGCCAAAUUCAAUUCUAAAAUCACACUGAGAGUAUGAAACAAUUGUGAUAUACAUCUCUAUACUUAUCCUUUAGACCAAUAUAUAAUAUAAAUAUAUUAUUUAUAUUUCCAUGACUUAACUGAUUAUAUAAUCAGUUGAUCUAAAGGGUAAGUACAGAUAUAGGUACAUAACAGAUGACACUUAUGGAAUCCUCUUGAAAAUGAUAUGGUUUUUGACAUUUUGUUAGGACAGAAAAAUAGUGAUAAUUUUAAAAAUGGGAUAACAGUAUUGUGACUACAUUUAAAAUUUUGUCUUUAUCUUUUGGAGAUAUACUAUUUUAUGGGUGAAAUGACACACUGUUGGAGAUUGGCUUCAAAACAAACGGGAAAGGUUAAGGAGUGGGUGGGGUGUGAUUUGAUACCAUUACCUGGGUGAUGAGUACAUGUGCUCAUUGUUCUAUUUCUAUUUCUGUUACGUGUUUGAAAAUUUCCAAAAUAAGAUGUUUCUAAACGGAAAUUACCAAGUCUUUAAAAUGAAGAGGUGUAUGUCAAGCUUAGGGGUGGUAGCGAAAAGAUAGUCAUUGUAUUAUUAUUUAUAAGAAAAAAUAGAAAUAACAUUAAUGUGCUAAUAGGCAAAUGGUUAAAUGAAUUUCAGGACAAUCCAACUGAAUGCAAGAUGCUCUUCAAAAGGAUGAUGCCCAUCUUUUUACAGGGAUAUGAAAAAAACGCUCAGGAUAUAGUCAGUGAAAGAGCAAGUUGCAGAUCUCUCUCUUUUUCUCUGUGUCUCUUUCUACCAGUCCAGCUCUCCCAACUCUAACCCCAAUACAUAAAUGUAGGAAAAACAUCAGACAAGAUACCAUCCAAACCAUUAGCAGUGAUCAUUUCUUUGGAAGGGGGGAAGAAAAGAAUUAGCGAGAGGCAGAGGAUGAGGUGGAGGACAAAGAUCUUUCACUUUUUACUUUGUAUGCUUCUGAAUUAUUUUACUUUUUUCCCAAGAAGCACAUAUUUUAAAAUUAAAAAGGAAAAAUGUUCAUUAAAAGGAAAAGAAAACAAUUGUGAUUUGGCAAUCUCUCUUAUAAAACAGCAUAUUUUGCCACUUGUACUCACUCUCUAAAAAGUUCUAUUUUGUGAAAAUCAGUUAAAACAAUUUUAGUAUAUAUGGCUAAGCAUAUAGUAAGAAGUACAAAGCAGGAGUUAGGUAAAUACAUUCACCCCACCAUGCCUGGGCAUUGAUUCUGACCUAAAACCUAUAAUUAGGAUUCUAUAUAUGCCUAACAUAUAACCAGCAAUAACCAGCAACGACCUCCAAGGAUGUGCAAGAUCCUUAUUAUAAAUAAACUUACAACCAAGUCUCUUUUGUGUCUAAUAUCCCUUCACCAUUUUUCAAACUGAAGGGGGCAUGGAUAGCAUCAAUUUAUAAGGCUGGUCAAUUCAGGUUUCGUGAGGGUAUUUUCAAACCAAAUUUAUGGGAGCAUUUGGGCAUUUAGAGUAUGACCAUUUGUACGGCGUUCUUUUCUAUGCAUCUCUGAUGACUUUGUGAACAUACAGAGAUCACUGUAGACUGAAAAAUGUCCUACAAGGGACAGUAGGAGCUUCUAUGCCACCACUUUCCUUUAGAGAGAAAAAGAGAAUUGAAAGGACAUGCUAGUGCCACACUGUGCCAUUACUGGUUAUAGAUCCCAGGUUUCCAGGUUUUAUGAACAAUGAUAGCAUAACCCUCUUCCUACAACAGUUACUUGGUUUUUGACUUUUGUUUCCAAGUCUUGUAAUUGGAGAUGUUCCUGUGCCCCUAAUUCUCAGAUCUUUGCAAAUCAGGUUCUUGAAAUAAGAAAUAAUGCCUGGGAUAUAUAAUAUGUUUAAUAAACCCUGGCUAAAUAAAUGGAUGAAUGAACAGAGAGUUUGAACUCCUUUGCAGAAGCCCAAUAUUUGGGCUAAAAUGAUACGAGUCAUCUUUUUGUCCAAAAACAUAGUAGACUAACUAUUCUGGUUGAUCUUCCUAAAACUUCCCUAAAAGUCCCAUGCCAAGGAGAAGUCAUAGCUCAUUCCCCAUACCUUCGUAGUACCCUUGGUGUGUCGUCCUCACCCAAUCCUACCUUGCUCCAUUCCCAUCAGUCAGAAAUAUCAGUGUUGUUUGUUCUGAGAAUGCUGAGAGUUUUAAUAUACAACAUAGAGAGUGGCCUAAUGUACUUUUUCUGCUCCCGGGACUAAUCCAGCUUAUAAUCCCUCUCAUUCAUUCAUGCAGUCAUGCAUGCAAGAGAUGUUUACUGAGCACCUACUGACCUGCUAUCUGUUAGGCACUAUAUGUGGUGCUGGAGUGCAGUGAGAGCAAAGCAGGCAGGGCAGUACACUCCAAAAACUUUCAGUGCAGGCUCUCCUGCACCCAUCACCUGACUCCUUCAUUACUGAUCAUCAACCUUUUGCCCCUCCUAAAUCCUAGAUUUAGCACAUAUAACUUGAACCAUCUUUUCUGAUAUCUUAACUUCUGAAGGCUUCUACUUCCUAUUGCAUCCUAACCUCAUCUGGAUAGACAUUUCAAAACCUUCCCCACACCUCUCUAGGCUUUGGCUCAUGGGGUCCUUCAUGCCUGUUUUCCUUUUCUUCACAUUCCUGUUGAAAGCAACCUCUCCUAUAAACCAUCUGGAUUAACUAUGCCAACUGUUGGGGCCAACAGCACAGUUUUGAUUAAGCAAGACACUGGGACCAUAGCCACCAUUAAGUUCAAAUUAUCAAAGAGCUAAAUGGUCUGGUUUGGGAAGACAGGGGCAGUGAGGACCUUGCCCCUCCUAUGUCUCAGGGCAUUUAAAAAAUCUAGUUGAUAUGUAGUGAUUCCAUAUCUGAGUGCCUGGGAGCACUCUUCUGUUAGCCUUGGAGCAACCUGAAGAUAAGAACUGGGUCUGCUUUUCAACCCUGGAGCCAACUCCCCAGUGGGGUAACA